rnacentral:lncRNA from 1 species
AACUAUUAAAAAUAUUCAAAAAAUCAAUUAAAUCAUGAAAAAUAUUAAUAAUGAUCCAAAAAAUAAUUUUAAUUCAGAAUAUGAAAGAAGAAUUUAUUUAAAUUUUUUUGUGAAACUCUAAUAUUUUUUGGAUCAAUAUUAAAAUUAAUAUGAAUUAAUGAAAAUCAAAUGAAAUAAAAUGAAAAUAAAAAAAAAAAAAACGUGAACCACUUGAUUUCC